UACGUAGGGUGCUAGCGUUGUUCGGAAUCAUUGGGCGUAAAGCGCGUGUAGGUGGUCAGUAAAGUUGGAUGUGAAAUCCCUGGGCUCAACCGAGGAAGUGCAUUCAAAACUCACUGGCUUGAGAGUGGUAGAGGAAGGUGGAAUUCCUAGUGUAGAGGUGAAAUUCGUAGAUAUUAGGAGGAAUACCGGAGGCGAAGGCGGCCUUCUGGACCAUUUCUGACACUGAGACGCGAAAGCGUGGGUAGCAAACAGG
rnacentral:rRNA from 1 species